ACUCUCUCUUUCUCUCUCUCUCUCUUUU
rnacentral:sRNA from 1 species